AUUAGGAAGAUUGCAUGCGUUCGUUGCGAAAAAAUCCACCCGAGUUUCGCUACCCGGCAAUAGUGCAUUCGGGUGCCGAAAUGCACCCGUUUUGCAUCGUUUUUCGUGCCGGAACCGAAUGCCCAAAAACACUCCCAAACAUGUUCUAGUGCAUAUUUAGGAAGAUUGCAUGCGUUCGUUGCGAAAAAAUCCACCCGAGUUUCGCUACCCGGAAAUAGUGCAUUCGGGUGCCGAAAUGCACCCGUUUUGCAUCGUUUUUCGUGCCGGAACCGAAUGCCCAAAAACACUCCCAAACAUGUUCUAGUGCAUAUUUAGGAAGAUUGCAUGCGUUCGUUGCGAAAAAAUCCACCCGAGUUUCGCUACCCGGCAAUAGUGCAUUCGGGUGCCGAAAUGCACCCGUUUUGCAUCGUUUUUCGUGCCGGAACCGAAUGCCCAAAAACACUCCCAAACAUGUUCUAGUGCAUAUUUAGGAAGAUUGCAUGCGUUCGUUGCGAAAAAAUCCACCCGAGUUUCGCUACCCGGAAAUAGUGCAUUCGGGUGCCGAAAUGCACCCGUUUUGCAUCGUUUUUCGUGCCGGAACCGAAUGCCCAAAAACACUCCCAAACAUGUUCUAGUGUAUAAUUAGGAAGAUUGCAUGCGUUCGUUGCGAAAAAAUCCACCCGAGUUUCGCUACCCGGAAAUAGUGCAUUCGGGUGCCGAAAUGCACCCGUUUUGCAUCAUUUUUCGUGCCGGAACCGAAUGCCAAAAACACUCCCAAACAUGUUCUAGUGUAUAAUUAGGAAGAUUGCAUGCGUUCGUUGCGAAAAAAUCCACCCGAGUUUCGCUACCCGGAAAUAGUGCAUUCGGGUGCCGAAAUGCACCCGUUUUGCAUCGUUUUUCGUGCCGGAACCGAAUGCCCAAAAACACUCCCAAACAUGUUCUAGUGUAUAAUUAGGAAGAUUGCAUGCGUUCGUUGCGAAAAAAUCCACCCGAGUUUCGCUACCCGGAAUAGUGCAUUCGGGUGCCGAAAUGCACCCGUUUUGCAUCGUUUUUCGUGCCGGAACCGAAUGCUCAAAAACACUCCCAAACAUGUUCUAGUGCUAUAUUAGGAAGAUUGCAUGCGUUCGUUGCGAAAAAAUCCACCCGAGUUUCGCUACCCGGCAAUAGUGCAUUCGGGUGCCGAAAUGCACCCGUUUUGCAUCAUUUUUCGUGCCGGAACCGAAUGCCCAAAAACACUCCCAAACAUGUUCUAGGUCAUAUUUAGGAAGAUUGCAUGCGUUCGUUGCGAAAAAAUCCACCCGAGUUUCGCUACCCGGCAAUAGUGCAUUCGGGUGCCGAAAUGCACCCGUUUUGCAUCAUUUUUCGUGCCGGAACCGAAUGCCCAAAAACACUCCCAAACAUGUUCUAGUGUCAUAUUUAGGAAGAUUGCAUGCGUUCGUUGCGAAAAAAUCCACCCGAGUUUCGCUACCCGGCAAUAGUGCAUUCGGGUGCCGAAAUGCACCCGUUUUGCAUCAUUUUUCGUGCCGGAACCGAAUGCCCAAAAACACUCCCAAACAUGUUCUAGUGCAUAUUUAGGAAGAUUGCAUGCGUUCGUUGCGAAAAAAUCCACCCGAGUUUCGCUACCCGGCAAUAGUGCAUUCGGGUGCCGAAAUGCACCCGUUUUGCAUCGUUUUUCGUGCCGGAACCGAAUGCCCAAAAACACUCCCAAACAUGUUCUAGUGCUAUAUUUAGGAAGAUUGCAUGCGUUCGUUGCGAAAAAAUCCACCCGAGUUUCGCUACCCGGCAAUAGUGCAUUCGGGUGCCGAAAUGCACCCGUUUUGCAUCAUUUUUCGUGCCGGAACCGAAUGCCCAAAAACACUCCCAAACAUGUUCUAGUGCAUAUUUAGGAAGAUUGCAUGCGUUCGUUGCGAAAAAAUCCACCCGAGUUUCGCUACCCGGCAAUAGUGCAUUCGGGUGCCGAAAUGCACCCGUUUUGCAUCAUUUUUCGUGCCGGAACCGAAUGCCCAAAAACACUCCCAAACAUGUUCUAGUGCUAUAUUAGGAAGAUUGCAUGCGUUCGUUGCGAAAAAAUCCACCCGAGUUUCGCUACCCGGCAAUAGUGCAUUCGGGUGCCGAAAUGCACCCGUUUUGCAUCGUUUUUCGUGCCGGAACCGAAUGCCCAAAAACACUCCCAAACAUGUUCUAGUGCUAUAUUAGGAAGAUUGCAUGCGUUCGUUGCGAAAAAAUCCACCCGAGUUUCGCUACCCGGAAAUAGUGCAUUCGGGUGCCGAAAUGCACCCGUUUUGCAUCGUUUUUCGUGCCGGAACCGAAUGCCAAAAACACUCCCAAACAUGUUCUAGUGCUAUAUUAGGAAGAUUGCAUGCGUUCGUUGCGAAAAAAUCCACCCGAGUUUCGCUACCCGGCAAUAGUGCAUUCGGGUGCCGAAAUGCACCCGUUUUGCAUCAUUUUUCGUGCCGGAACCGAAUGCCCAAAAACACUCCCAAACAUGUUCUAGUGCAUAUUAGGAAGAUUGCAUGCGUUCGUUGCGAAAAAAUCCACCCGAGUUUCGCUACCCGGCAAUAGUGCAUUCGGGUGCCGAAAUGCACCCGUUUUGCAUCGUUUUUCGUGCCGGAACCGAAUGCCCAAAAACACUCCCAAACAUGUUCUAGUGUAUAAUUAGGAAGAUUGCAUGCGUUCGUUGCGAAAAAAUCCACCCGAGUUUCGCUACCCGGAAAUAGUGCAUUCGGGUGCCGAAAUGCACCCGUUUUGCAUCAGUUUUUCGUGCCGGAACCGAAUGCCCAAAAACACUCCCAAACAUGUUCUAGUGUAUAUUAGGAAGAUUGCAUGCGUUCGUUGCGAAAAAAUCCACCCGAGUUUCGCUACCCGGAAAUAGUGCAUUCGGGUGCCGAAAUGCACCCGUUUUGCAUCAUUUUUCGUGCCGGAACCGAAUGCCCAAAAACACUCCCAAACAUGUUCUAGUGCUAUAUUAGGAAGAUUGCAUGCGUUCGUUGCGAAAAAAUCCACCCGAGUUUCGCUACCCGGCAAUAGUGCAUUCGGUGCCGAAAUGCACCCGUUUUGCAUCGUUUUUCGUGCCGGAACCGAAUGCCCAAAAACACUCCCAAACAUGUUCUAGUGCAUAUUUAGGAAGAUUGCAUGCGUUCGUUGCGAAAAAAUCCACCGAGUUUCGCUACCCGGAAAUAGUGCAUUCGGGUGCCGAAAUGCACCCGUUUUGCAUCGUUUUUCGUGCCGGAACCGAAUGCCCAAAAACACUCCCAAACAUGUUCUAGUGCAUAUUAGGAAGAUUGCAUGCGUUCGUUGCGAAAAAAUCCACCCGAGUUUCGCUACCCGGCAAUAGUGCAUUCGGGUGCCGAAAUGCACCCGUUUUGCAUCAUUUUUCGUGCCGGAACCGAAUGCCCAAAAACACUCCCAAACAUGUUCUAGGUCAUAUUAGGAAGAUUGCAUGCGUUCGUUGCGAAAAAAUCCACCCGAGUUUCGCUACCCGGCAAUAGUGCAUUCGGGUGCCGAAAUGCACCCGUUUUGCAUCGUUUUUCGUGCCGGAACCGAAUGCCCAAAAACACUCCCAAACAUGUUCUAGGGUCUAAUUAGGAAGAUUGCAUGCGUUCGUUGCGAAAAAAUCCACCCGAGUUUCGCUACCCGGCAAUAGUGCAUUCGGGUGCCGAAAUGCACCCGUUUUGCAUCAUUUUUCGUGCCGGAACCGAAUGCCCAAAAACACUCCCAAACAUGUUCUAGUGCAUAUUUAGGAAGAUUGCAUGCGUUCGUUACGAAAAAAUCCACCCGAGUUUCGCUACCCGGCAAUAGUGCAUUCGGGUGCCGAAAUGCACCCGUUUUGCAUCGUUUUUCAGUGCCGGAACCGAAUGCCCAAAAACACUCCCAAACAUGUUCUAGUGCAUAUUUAGGAAGAUUGCAUGCGUUCGUUGCGAAAAAAUCCACUCGAGUUUCGCUACCCGGAAAUAGUGCAUUCGGGUGCCGAAAUGCACCCGUUUUGCAUCGUUUUUCGUGCCGGAACCGAAUGCCAAAAAACACUCCCAAACAUGUUCUAGUGCAUAUUUAGGAAGAUUGCAUGCGUUCGUUACGAAAAAAUCCACCCGAGUUUCGCUACCCGGCAAUAGUGCAUUCGGGUGCCGAAAUGCACCCGUUUUGCAUCAUUUUUCGUGCCAGAACCAAAUGCGCAAAAACACUCCCAAACAUGUUCUAAGUGCAUAUUUAGGAAGAUUGCAUGCGUUCGUUGUGAAAAAAUCCACCCGAGUUUCGCUACCCGGCAAUAGUGCAUUCGGGUGCCGAAAUGCACCCGUUUUGCAUCAGUUUUUCGUGUCGGAACCGAAUGCCCAAAGACACUCCCAAACAUGUUCUAGUGCAUAUUUAGGAAGAUUGCAUGCGUUCGUUACGAAAAAAUCCACCCGAGUUUCGCUACCCGGCAAUAGUGCAUUAAGGUGCCGAAAUGCACCCAGUUUGCAUCGUUUUUCAUGCCGGAACCGAAUGCCCAAAAACACUCCCAAACAUGUUCUAGUGCAUAUUUAGGAAGAUUGCAUGCGUUCGUUGCGAAAAAAUCCACCCGAGUUUCGCUACCCGGAAAUAGUGCAUUCGGGUGCCGAAAUGCACCCGUUUUGCAUCGUUUUUCGUGCCGGAACCGAAUGCCAAAAACUACUCCCAAACAUGUUCUAGUGCAUAUUUAGGAAGAUUGCAUGCGUUCGUUACGAAAAAAUCCACCCGAGUUUCGCUACCCGGCAAUAGUGCAUUCGGGUGCCGAAAUGCACCCGUUUUGCAUCAUUUUUCGUGCCGGAACCGAAUGCCCAAAAACACUCCCAAACAUGUUCUAGGCAUAUUUAGGAAGAUUGCAUGCGUUCGUUGCGAAAAAAUCCACCCGAGUUUCGCUACCCGGCAAUAGUGCAUUCGGGUGCCGAAAUGCACCCGUUUUGCAUCGUUUUUCGUGCCGGAACCGAAUGCCCAAAAACACUCCCAAACAUGUUCUAGGGUCUAAUUAGGAAGAUUGCAUGCGUUCGUUGCGAAAAAAUCCACCCGAGUUUCGCUACCCGGCAAUAGUGCAUUCGGGUGCCGAAAUGCACCCGUUUUGCAUCAUUUUUCGUGCCGGAACCGAAUGCCCAAAAACACUCCCAAACAUGUUCUAGUGCAUAUUUAGGAAGAUUGCAUGCGUUCGUUGCGAAAAAAUCCACCCGAGUUUCGCUACCCGGCAAUAGUGCAUUCGGGUGCCGAAAUGCACCCGUUUUGCAUCGUUUUUCGUGCCGGAACCGAAUGCCCAAAAACACUCCCAAACAUGUUCUAGUGCAUAUUUAGGAAGAUUGCAUGCGUUCGUUGCGAAAAAAUCCACCCGAGUUUCGCUACCCGGAAAUAGUGCAUUCGGGUGCCGAAAUGCACCCGUUUUGCAUCGUUUUUCGUGCCGGAACCGAAUGCCAAAAAACACUCCCAAACAUGUUCUAGUGCAUAUUUAGGAAGAUUGCAUGCGUUCGUUGCGAAAAAAUCCACCCGAGUUUCGCUACCCGGCAAUAGUGCAUUCGGGUGCCGAAAUGCACCCGUUUUGCAUCAGUUUUUCGUGCCGGAACCGAAUGCCCAAAAACACUCCCAAACAUGUUCUAGUGCAUAUUAGGAAGAUUGCAUGCGUUCGUUGCGAAAAAAUCCACCCGAGUUUCGCUACCCGGCAAUAGUGCAUUCGGGUGCCGAAAUGCACCCGUUUUGCAUCAUUUUUCGUGCCGGAACCGAAUGCCCAAAAACACUCCCAAACAUGUUCUAGUGCAUAUUUAGGAAGAUUGCAUGCGUUCGUUGCGAAAAAAUCCACCCGAGUUUCGCUACCCGGCAAUAGUGCAUUCGGGUGCCGAAAUGCACCCGUUUUGCAUCAUUUUUCGUGCCGGAACCGAAUGCCCAAAAACACUCCCAAACAUGUUCUAGUGCAUAUUUAGGAAGAUUGCAUGCGUUCGUUGCGAAAAAAUCCACCCGAGUUUCGCUACCCGGCAAUAGUGCAUUCGGGUGCCGAAAUGCACCCGUUUUGCAUCGUUUUUCGUGCCGGAACCGAAUGCCAAAAAACACUCCCAAACAUGUUCUAGUGCAUAUUUAGGAAGAUUGCAUGCGUUCGUUAGCGAAAAAAUCCACCCGAGUUUCGCUACCCGGCAAUAGUGCAUUCGGGUGCCGAAAUGCACCCGUUUUGCAUCGUUUUUCGUGCCGGAACCGAAUGCCCAAAAACACUCCCAAACAUGUUCUAGUGUCUAAUUAGGAAGAUUGCAUGCGUUCGUUGCGAAAAAAUCCACCCGAGUUUCGCUACCCGGCAAUAGUGCAUUCGGGUGCCGAAAUGCACCCGUUUUGCAUCAUUUUUCGUGCCGGAACCGAAUGCCCAAAAACACUCCCAAACAUGUUCUAGUGCAUAUUUAGGAAGAUUGCAUGCGUUCGUUACGAAAAAAUCCACCCGAGUUUCGCUACCCGGCAAUAGUGCAUUCGGGUGCCGAAAUGCACCCAGUUUUGCAUCGUUUUUCAGUGCCGGAACCGAAUGCCCAAAAACACUCCCAAACAUGUUCUAGUGCAUAUUUAGGAAGAUUGCAUGCGUUCGUUGCGAAAAAAUCCACCCGAGUUUCGCUACCCGGAAAUAGUGCAUUCGGGUGCCGAAAUGCACCCGUUUUGCAUCGUUUUUCGUGCCGGAACCGAAUGCCAAAAAACACUCCCAAACAUGUUCUAGUGCAUAUUUAGGAAGAUUGCAUGCGUUCGUUGCGAAAAAAUCCACCCGAGUUUCGCUACCCGGCAAUAGUGCAUUCGGGUGCCGAAAUGCACCCGUUUUGCAUCAUUUUUCGUGCCGAACCGAAUGCCCAAAAACACUCCCAAACAUGUUCUAGUGCAUAUUUAGGAAGAUUGCAUGCGUUCGUUGCGAAAAAAUCCACCCGAGUUUCGCUACCCGGCAAUAGUGCAUUCGGGUGCCGAAAUGCACCCGUUUUGCAUCGUUUUUCGUGCCGGAACCGAAUGCCCAAAAACACUCCCAAACAUGUUCUAGUGCAUAUUUAGGAAGAUUGCAUGCGUUCGUUGCGAAAAAAUCCACCCGAGUUUCGCUACCCGGCAAUAGUGCAUUCGGGUGCCGAAAUGCACCCGUUUUGCAUCAUUUUUCGUGCCGGAACCGAAUGCCCAAAAACACUCCCAAACAUGUUCUAGUGCAUAUUUAGGAAGAUUGCAUGCGUUCGUUGCGAAAAAAUCCACCCGAGUUUCGCUACCCGGCAAUAGUGCAUUCGGGUGCCGAAAUGCACCCGUUUUGCAUCGUUUUUCGUGCCGGAACCGAAUGCCAAAAAACACUCCCAAACAUGUUCUAGUGCAUAUUUAGGAAGAUUGCAUGCGUUCGUUGCGAAAAAAUCCACCCGAGUUUCGCUACCCGGCAAUAGUGCAUUCGGGUGCCGAAAUGCACCCGUUUUGCAUCAUUUUUCGUGCCAGGAACCAAAUGCCCAAAAACACUCCCAAACAUGUUCUAGGCAUAUUUAGGAAGAUUGCAUGCGUUCGUUGCGAAAAAAUCCACCCGAGUUUCGCUACCCGGCAAUAGUGCAUUCGGGUGCCGAAAUGCACCCGUUUUGCAUCAUUUUUCGUGCCGGAACCGAAUGCCCAAAAACACUCCCAAACAUGUUCUAGUGCAUAUUUAGGAAGAUUGCAUGCGUUCGUUGCGAAAAAAUCCACCCGAGUUUCGCUACCCGGCAAUAGUGCAUUAAGGUGCCGAAAUGCACCCGUUUUGCAUCGUUUUUCGUGCCGGAACCGAAUGCCCAAAAACACUCCCAAACAUGUUCUAGUGCAUAUUUAGGAAGAUUGCAUGCGUUCGUUGCGAAAAAAUCCACCCGAGUUUCGCUACCCGGAAAUAGUGCAUUCGGGUGCCGAAAUGCACCCGUUUUGCAUCGUUUUUCGUGCCGGAACCGAAUGCCAAAAACACUCCCAAACAUGUUCUAGUGCAUAUUUAGGAAGAUUGCAUGCGUUCGUUGCGAAAAAAUCCACCCGAGUUUCGCUACCCGGCAAUAGUGCAUUCGGGUGCCGAAAUGCACCCGUUUUGCAUCAUUUUUCGUGCCGGAACCGAAUGCCCAAAAACACUCCCAAACAUGUUCUAGUGCAUAUUUAGGAAGAUUGCAUGCGUUCGUUGCGAAAAAAUCCACCCGAGUUUCGCUACCCGGCAAUAGUGCAUUCGGGUGCCGAAAUGCACCCGUUUUGCAUCGUUUUUCGUGCCGGAACCGAAUGCCCAAAAACACUCCCAAACAUGUUCUAGUGUCUAAUUAGGAAGAUUGCAUGCGUUCGUUGCGAAAAAAUCCACCCGAGUUUCGCUACCCGGCAAUAGUGCAUUCGGGUGCCGAAAUGCACCCGUUUUGCAUCAUUUUUCGUGCCGGAACCGAAUGCUCAAAAACACUCCCAAACAUGUUCUAGUGCAUAUUUAGGAAGAUUGCAUGCGUUCGUUGCGAAAAAAUCCACCCGAGUUUCGCUACCCGGCAAUAGUGCAUUCGGGUGCCGAAAUGCACCCGUUUUGCAUCGUUUUUCGUGCCGGAACCGAAUGCCCAAAAACACUCCCAAACAUGUUCUAGUGCAUAUUUAGGAAGAUUGCAUGCGUUCGUUGCGAAAAAAUCCACCCGAGUUUCGCUACCCGGAAAUAGUGCAUUCGGGUGCCGAAAUGCACCCGUUUUGCAUCGUUUUUCGUGCCGGAACCGAAUGCCAAAAAACACUCCCAAACAUGUUCUAGUGCAUAUUUAGGAAGAUUGCAUGCGUUCGUUGCGAAAAAAUCCACCCGAGUUUCGCUACCCGGCAAUAGUGCAUUCGGGUGCCGAAAUGCACCCGUUUUGCAUCAGUUUUUCGUGCCGGAACCGAAUGCCCAAAAACACUCCCAAACAUGUUCUAGUGCAUAUUUAGGAAGAUUGCAUGCGUUCGUUGCGAAAAAAUCCACCCGAGUUUCGCUACCCGGCAAUAGUGCAUUCGGGUGCCGAAAUGCACCCGUUUUGCAUCGUUUUUCGUGCCGGAACCGAAUGCCCAAAAACACUCCCAAACAUGUUCUAGUGUCUAAUUAGGAAGAUUGCAUGCGUUCGUUGCGAAAAAAUCCACCCGAGUUUCGCUACCCGGCAAUAGUGCAUUCGGGUGCCGAAAUGCACCCGUUUUGCAUCAUUUUUCGUGCCGGAACCGAAUGCCCAAAAACACUCCCAAACAUGUUCUAGUGCAUAUUUAGGAAGAUUGCAUGCGUUCGUUGCGAAAAAAUCCACCCGAGUUUCGCUACCCGGCAAUAGUGCAUUCGGGUGCCGAAAUGCACCCGUUUUGCAUCGUUUUUCAGUGCCGGAACCGAAUGCCCAAAAACACUCCCAAACAUGUUCUAGUGCAUAUUUAGGAAGAUUGCAUGCGUUCGUUGCGAAAAAAUCCACUCGAGUUUCGCUACCCGGAAAUAGUGCAUUCGGGUGCCGAAAUGCACCCGUUUUGCAUCAUUUUUCGUGCCGGAACCGAAUGCCAAAAAACACUCCCAAACAUGUUCUAGUGCAUAUUUAGGAAGAUUGCAUGCGUUCGUUACGAAAAAAUCCACCCGAGUUUCGCUACCCGGCAAUAGUGCAUUCGGGUGCCGAAAUGCACCCGUUUUGCAUCAUUUUUCGUGCCAGAACCAAAUGCCCAAAAACACUCCCAAACAUGUUCUAGUGCAUAUUUAGGAAGAUUGCAUGCGUUCGUUGCGAAAAAAUCCACCCGAGUUUCGCUACCCGGCAAUAGUGCAUUCGGGUGCCGAAAUGCUCCCGUUUUGCAUCAUUUUUCGUGCCGGAACCGAAUGCCCAAAAACACUCCCAAACAUGUUCUAGUGCAUAUUUAGGAAGAUUGCAUGCGUUCGUUAGCGAAAAAAUCCACCCGAGUUUCGCUACCCGGCAAUAGUGCAUUCGGGUGCCGAAAUGCACCCGUUUUGCAUCAUUUUUCGUGCCGGAACCGAAUGCCCAAAAACACUCCCAAACAUGUUCUAGUGCAUAUUUAGGAAGAUUGCAUGCGUUCGUUAGCGAAAAAAUCCACCCGAGUUUCGCUACCCGGCAAUAGUGCAUUCGGGUGCCGAAAUGCACCCGUUUUGCAUCAUUUUUCGUGCCAGGAACCGAAUGCCCAAAAACACUCCCAAACAUGUUCUAGUGCAUAUUUAGGAAGAUUGCAUGCGUUCGUUGCGAAAAAAUCCACCCGAGUUUCGCUACCCGGCAAUAGUGCAUUCGGGUGCCGAAAUGCACCCGUUUUGCAUCAUUUUUCGUGCCGGAACCGAAUGCCCAAAAACACUCCCAAACAUGUUCUAGUGCAUAUUUAGGAAGAUUGCAUGCGUUCGUUGCGAAAAAAUCCACCCGAGUUUCGCUACCCGGCAAUAGUGCAUUCGGGUGCCGAAAUGCACCCGUUUUGCAUCAUUUUUCGUGCCGGAACCGAAUGCCCAAAAACACUCCCAAACAUGUUCUAGUGCAUAUUUAGGAAGAUUGCAUGCGUUCGUUGCGAAAAAAUCCACCCGAGUUUCGCUACCCGGCAAUAGUGCAUUCGGGUGCCGAAAUGCACCCGUUUUGCAUCGUUUUUCGUGCCGGAACCGAAUGCCCAAAAACACUCCCAAACAUGUUCUAGUGUCAUAUUAGGAAGAUUGCAUGCGUUCGUUGCGAAAAAAUCCACCCGAGUUUCGCUACCCGGCAAUAGUGCAUUCGGGUGCCGAAAUGCACCCGUUUUGCAUCAUUUUUCGUGCCGGAACCGAAUGCUCAAAAACACUCCCAAACAUGUUCUAGUGCAUAUUUAGGAAGAUUGCAUGCGUUCGUUGCGAAAAAAUCCACCCGAGUUUCGCUACCCGGCAAUAGUGCAUUCGGGUGCCGAAAUGCACCCGUUUUGCAUCGUUUUUCGUGCCGGAACCGAAUGCCCAAAAACACUCCCAAACAUGUUCUAGUGCAUAUUUAGGAAGAUUGCAUGCGUUCGUUGCGAAAAAAUCCACCGAGUUUCGCUACCCGGAAAUAGUGCAUUCGGGUGCCGAAAUGCACCCGUUUUGCAUCGUUUUUCAGUGCCGGAACCGAAUGCCAAAAACACUCCCAAACAUGUUCUAGUGCAUAUUUAGGAAGAUUGCAUGCGUUCGUUGCGAAAAAAUCCACCCGAGUUUCGCUACCCGGCAAUAGUGCAUUCGGGUGCCAAAAUGCACCCGUUUUGCAUCAUUUUUCGUGCCAGAACCAAAUGCCCAAAAACACUCCCAAACAUGUUCUAGUGCAUAUUUAGGAAGAUUGCAUGCGUUCGUUGCGAAAAAAUCCACCCGAGUUUCGCUACCCGGCAAUAGUGCAUUCGGGUGCCGAAAUGCACCCGUUUUGCAUCGUUUUUCGUGCCGGAACCGAAUGCCCAAAAACACUCCCAAACAUGUUCUAGGGUCUAAUUAGGAAGAUUGCAUGCGUUCGUUGCGAAAAAAUCCACCCGAGUUUCGCUACCCGGCAAUAGUGCAUUCGGGUGCCGAAAUGCACCCGUUUUGCAUCAUUUUUCGUGCCGGAACCGAAUGCCCAAAAACACUGCCCAAACAUGUUCUAGUGCAUAUUUAGGAAGAUUGCAUGCGUUCGUUGCGAAAAAAUCCACCCGAGUUUCGCUACCCGGCAAUAGUGCAUUCGGGUGCCGAAAUGCACCCAGUUUUGCAUCGUUUUUCGUGCCGGAACCGAAUGCCCAAAAACACUCCCAAACAUGUUCUAGUGCAUAUUUAGGAAGAUUGCAUGCGUUCGUUGCGAAAAAAUCCACCCGAGUUUCGCUAUCCGGAAAUAGUGCAUUCGGGUGCCGAAAUGCACCCGUUUUGCAUCGUUUUUCGUGCCGGAACCGAAUGCCAAAAAACACUCCCAAACAUGUUCUAGUGCAUAUUUAGGAAGAUUGCAUGCGUUCGUUACGAAAAAAUCCACCCGAGUUUCGCUACCCGGCAAUAGUGCAUUCGGGUGUCGAAAUGCACCCGUUUUGCAUCAUUUUUCGUGCCAGAACCAAAUGCCCAAAAACACUCCCAAACAUGUUCUAGGCAUAUUUAGGAAGAUUGCAUGCGUUCGUUGCGAAAAAAUCCACCCGAGUUUCGCUACCCGGCAAUAGUGCAUUCGGGUGCCGAAAUGCACCCGUUUUGCAUCAUUUUUCGUGCCGGAACCGAAUGCCCAAAAACACUCCCAAACAUGUUCUAGUGCAUAUUUAGGAAGAUUGCAUGCGUUCGUUGCGAAAAAAUCCACCCGAGUUUCGCUACCCGGCAAUAGUGUAGUCGGGUGCCGAAAUGCACCCGUUUUGCAUCAUUUUUCGUGCCGGAACCGAAUGCCCAAAAACACUCUCAAACAUGUUCUAGUGCAUAUUUAGGAAGAUUGCAUGCGUUCGUUGCGAAAAAAUUCCACCCGAGUUUCGCUACCCGGCAAUAGUGCAUUCGGGUGCCGAAAUGCACCCGUUUUGCAUCGUUUUUCGUGCCGGAACCGAAUGCCCAAAAACACUCCCAAACAUGUUCUAGGGUCUAAUUAGGAAGAUUGCAUGCGUUCGUUGCGAAAAAAUCCACCCGAGUUUCGCUACCCUGGCAAUAGUGCAUUCGGGUGCCGAAAUGCACCCGUUUUGCAUCAUUUUUCGUGCCGGAACCGAAUGCCCAAAAACACUCCCAAACAUGUUCUAGUGCAUAUUUAGGAAGAUUGCAUGCGUUCGUUGCGAAAAAAUCCACCCGAGUUUCGCUACCCGGAAAUAGUGCACUUGGGUGCCGAAAUGCACCCGUUUUGCAUCGUUUUUCGUGCCGGAACCGAAUGCCCAAAAACACUCCCAAACAUGUUCUAGUGUAUAUUUAUGAAGAUUGCAUGCGUUCGUUGUGAAAAAAUCCACCCGAGUUUCGCUACCCAGCAAUAGUGCAUUCGGUGCGAAGCACCCGUUUUGCAUCAUUUUUCGUGCCGGAACCGAAUGCCCAAAAACACUCCCAAACAUGUUCUAGUGCAUAUUUAGGAAGAUUGCAUGCGUUCGUUACGAAAAAAUCCACCCGAGUUUCGCUACCCGGCAAUAGUGCAUUCGGGUGCCGAAAUGCACCCAUUUUGCAUCGUUUUUCAUGCCGGAACCGAAUGCCCAAAAACACUACCCAAACAUGUUCUAGUGCAUAUUUAGGAAGAUUGCAUGCGUUCGUUGCGAAAAAAUCCACUCGAGUUUCGCUACCCGGAAAUAGUGCAUUCGGGUGCCGAAAUGCACCCGUUUUGCAUCGUUUUUCGUGCCGGAACCGAAUGCCCAAAAACACUCCCAAACAUGUUCUAGUGCAUAUUUAGGAAGAUUGCAUGCGUUCGUUGCGAAAAAAUCCACCCGAGUUUCGCUACCCGGCAAUAGUGCAUUCGGGUGCCGAAAUGCACCCGUUUUGCAUCAUUUUUCGUGCCGGAACCAAAUGCCCAAAAACACUCCCAAACAUGUUCUAGUGCAUAUUUAGGAAGAUUGCAUGCGUUCGUUGCGAAAAAAUCCACCCGAGUUUCGCUACCCGGCAAUAGUGCAUUCGGGUGCCGAAAUGCACCCGUUUUGCAUCAUUUUUCGUGCCGGAACCGAAUGCCCAAAAACACUCCCAAACAUGUUCUAGUGCAUAUUUAGGAAGAUUGCAUGCGUUCGUUGCGAAAAAAUCCACCCGAGUUUCGCUACCCGGCAAUAGUGCAUUCGGGUGCCGAAAUGCACCCGUUUUGCAUAUUUUUCGUGCCGGAACCGAAUGCCCAAAAACACUCCCAAACAUGUUCUAGUGCAUAUUUAGGAAGAUUGCAUGCGUUCGUUGCGAAAAAAUCCACCCGAGUUUCGCUACCCGGCAAUAGUGCAUUCGGGUGCCGAAAUGCACCCGUUUUGCAUCGUUUUUCGUGCCGGAACCGAAUGCCCAAAAUCACUCCCAAACAUGUUCUAGGGUCUAAUUAGGAAGAUUGCAUGCGUUCGUUGCGAAAAAAUCCACCCGAGUUUCGCUACCCGGCAAUAGUGCAUUCGGGUGCCGAAAUGCACCCGUUUUGCAUCAUUUUUCGUGCCGGAACCGAAUGCCCAAAAACACUCCCAAACAUGUUCUAGUGCAUAUUUAGGAAGAUUGCAUGCGUUCGUUACGAAAAAAUCCACCCGAGUUUCGCUACCCGGCAAUAGUGCAUUCGGGUGCCGAAAUGCACCCGUUAUGCAUCAUUUUACGUGCCAGAACCAAAUGCCCAAAAACACUCCCAAACAUGUUCUAAGGCAUAUUUAGGAAGAUUGCAUGCGUUCGUUGCGAAAAAAUCCACCCGAGUUUCGCUACCCGGCAAUAGUGCAUUCGGGUGCCGAAAUGCACCCGUUUUGCAUCAUUUUUCGUGCCGGAACCGAAUGCCCAAAAACACUCCCAAACAUGUUCUAGUGCAUAUUUAGGAAGAUUGCAUGCGUUCCUUGCGAAAAAAUCCACCCGAGUUUCGCUACCCGGCAAUAGUGUAGUCGGGUGCCGAAAUGCACCCGUUUUGCAUCAUUUUUCGUGCCGGAACCGAAUGCCCAAAAACACUCCCAAACAUGUUCUAGUGCAUAUUUAGGAAGAUUGCAUGCGUUCGUUGCGAAAAAAUCCACCCGAGUUUCGCUACCCGGCAAUAGUGCAUUCGGGUGCCGAAAUGCACCCAUUUUGCAUCAUUUUUCGUGCCGGAACCGAAUGUCCAAAAACACUCCCAAACAUGUUCUAGUGCAUAUUUAGGAAGAUUGCAUGCGUUCGUUGCGAAAAAAUCCACCCGAGUUUCGCUACCCGGCAAUAGUGCAUUCGGCUGCCGAAAUGCACCCGUUUUGCAUCGUUUUUCGUGCCGGAACCGAAUGCCCAAAAACACUCCCAAACAUGUUCUAGGGUCUAAUUAGGAAGAUUGCAUGCGUUCGUUGCGAAAAAAUCCACCCGAGUUUCGCUACCCGGCAAUAGUGCAUUCGGGUGCCGAAAUGCACCCGUUUUGCAUCAUUUUUCGUGCCGGAACCGAAUGCCCAAAAACACUCUCAAACAUGUUCUAGUGCAUAUUUAGGAAGAUUGCAUGCGUUCGUUGCGAAAAAAUCCACCCGAGUUUCGCUACCCGGAAAUAGUGCACUUCGGGUGCCGAAAUGCACCCGUUUUGCAUCGUUUUUCGUGCCGGAACCGAAUGCCCAAAAACACUCCCAAACAUGUUCUAGUGUAUAUUUAGGAAGAUUGCAUGCGUUCGUUGCGAAAAAAUCCACCCGAGUUUCGCUACCCGGCAAUAGUGUAGUCGGGUGCCGAAAUGCACCCGUUUUGCAUCAUUUUUCGUGCCGGAACCGAAUGCCCAAAGACACUCUCAAACAUGUUCUAGUGCAUAUUUAGGAAGAUUGCAUGCGUUCGUUGCGAAAAAAUCCACCCGAGUUUCGCUACCCGGAAAUAGUGCACUUGGGUGCCGAAAUGCACCCGUUUUGCAUCGUUUUUCGUGCCGGAACCGAAUGCCCAAAAACACUCCCAAACAUGUUCUAGUGUAUAUUUAUGAAGAUUGCAUGCGUUCGUUGCGAAAAAAUCCACCCGAGUUUCGCUACCCGGCAAUAGUGCAUUCGGGUGCCGAAAUGCACCCGUUUUGCAUCAUUUUUCGUGCCGGAACCGAAUGCCCAAAGACACUCUCAAACAUGUUCUAGUGCAUAUUUAGGAAGAUUGCAUGCGUUCGUUGCGAAAAAAUCCACCCGAGUUUCGCUACCCGGAAAUAGUGCACUUGGGUGCCGAAAUGCACCCGUUUUGCAUCGUUUUUCGUGCCGGAACCGAAUGCCCAAAAACACUCCCAAACAUGUUCUAGUGUAUAUUUAGGAAGAUUGCAUGCGUUCGUUGCGAAAAAAUCCACCCGAGUUUCGCUACCCGGCAAUAGUGUAGUCGGGUGCCGAAAUGCACCCGUUUUGCAUCAUUUUUCGUGCCGGAACCGAAUGCCCAAAAACACUCCCAAACAUGUUCUAGUGCAUAUUUAGGAAGAUUGCAUGCGUUCGUUGCGAAAAAAUCCACCCGAGUUUCGCUACCCGGCAAUAGUGCAUUCGGGUGCCGAAAUGCACCCGUUUUGCAUCAUUUUUCGUGCCGGAACCGAAUGCCCAAAGACACUCCCAAACAUGUUCUAGUGCAUAUUUAGGAAGAUUGCAUGCGUUCGUUACGAAAAAAUCCACCCGAGUUUCGCUACCCGGCAAUAGUGCAUUCGGGUGCCGAAAUGCACCCGUUAUGCAUCAUUUUACGUGCCAGAACCAAAUGCCCAAAAACACUCCCAAACAUGUUCUAAGUGCAUAUUUAGGAAGAUUGCAUGCGUUCGUUGCGAAAAAAUCCACCCGAGUUUCGCUACCCGGCAAUAGUGCAUUCGGGUGCCGAAAUGCACCCGUUUUGCAUCAUUUUUCGUGCCGGAACCGAAUGCCCAAAAACACUCCCAAACAUGUUCUAGUGCAUAUUUAGGAAGAUUGCAUGCGUUCGUUGCGAAAAAAUCCACCCGAGUUUCGCUACCCGGCAAUAGUGUAGUCGGGUGCCGAAAUGCACCCGUUUUGCAUCAUUUUUCGUGCCGGAACCGAAUGCCCAAAAACACUCCCAAACAUGUUCUAGUGCAUAUUUAGGAAGAUUGCAUGCGUUCGUUGCGAAAAAAUCCACCCGAGUUUCGCUACCCGGCAAUAGUGCAUUCGGGUGCCGAAAUGCACCCAUUUUGCAUCAUUUUUCGUGCCGGAACCGAAUGUCCAAAAACACUCCCAAACAUGUUCUAGUGCAUAUUUAGGAAGAUUGCAUGCGUUCGUUGCGAAAAAUUCCACCCGAGUUUCGCUACCCGGCAAUAGUGCAUUCGGCUGCCGAAAUGCACCCGUUUUGCAUCGUUUUUCGUGCCGGAACCGAAUGCCCAAAAACACUCCCAAACAUGUUCUAGGGUCUAAUUAGGAAGAUUGCAUGCGUUCGUUGCGAAAAAAUCCACCCGAGUUUCGCUACCCGGCAAUAGUGCAUUCGGGUGCCGAAAUGCACCCGUUUUGCAUCAUUUUUCGUGCCGGAACCGAAUGCCCAAAGACACUCUCAAACAUGUUCUAGUGCAUAUUUAGGAAGAUUGCAUGCGUUCGUUGCGAAAAAAUCCACCCGAGUUUCGCUACCCGGAAAUAGUGCACUUGGGUGCCGAAAUGCACCCGUUUUGCAUCGUUUUUCGUGCCGGAACCGAAUGCCCAAAAACACUCCCAAACAUGUUGUAGUGUAUAUUUAUGAAGAUUGCAUGCGUUCGUUGCGAAAAAAUCCACCCGAGUUUCGCUACCCGGCAAUAGUGCAUUCGGGUGCCGAAAUGCACCCGUUUUGCAUCAUUUUUCGUGCCGGAACCGAAUGCCCAAAGACACUCUCAAACAUGUUCUAGUGCAUAUUUAGGAAGAUUGCAUGCGUUCGUUGCGAAAAAAUCCACCCGAGUUUCGCUACCCGGAAAUAGUGCAUUCGGCUGCCGAAAUGCACCCGUUUUGCAUCGUUUUUCGUGCCGGAACCGAAUGCCCAAAAACACUCCCAAACAUGUUCUAGGGUCUAAUUAGGAAGAUUGCAUGCGUUCGUUGCGAAAAAAUCCACCCGAGUUUCGCUACCCGGCAAUAGUGCAUUCGGGUGCCGAAAUGCACCCGUUUUGCAUCAUUUUUCGUGCCGGAACCGAAUGCCCAAAGACACUCUCAAACAUGUUCUAGUGCAUAUUUAGGAAGAUUGCAUGCGUUCGUUGCGAAAAAAUCCACCCGAGUUUCGCUACCCGGAAAUAGUGCACUUGGGUGCCGAAAUGCACCCGUUUUGCAUCGUUUUUCGUGCCGGAACCGAAUGCCCAAAAACACUCCCAAACAUGUUCUAGUGUAUAUUUAUGAAGAUUGCAUGCGUUCGUUGCGAAAAAAUCCACCCGAGUUUCGCUACCCGGCAAUAGUGUAGUCGGGUGCCGAAAUGCACCCGUUUUGCAUCAUUUUUCGUGCCGGAACCGAAUGCCCAAAGACACUCUCAAACAUGUUCUAGUGCAUAUUUAGGAAGAUUGCAUGCGUUCGUUGCGAAAAAAUCCACCCGAGUUUCGCUACCCGGAAAUAGUGCACUUGGGUGCCGAAAUGCACCCGUUUUGCAUCGUUUUUCGUGCCGGAACCGAAUGCCCAAAAACACUCCCAAACAUGUUCUAGUGUAUAUUUAUGAAGAUUGCAUGCGUUCGGUGCGAAAAAAUCCACCCGAGUUUCGCUACCCGGCAAUAGUGCAUUCGGGUGCCGAAAUGCACCCGUUUUGCAUCAUUUUUCGUGCCGGAACCGAAUGCCCAAAGACACUCUCAAACAUGUUCUAGUGCAUAUUUAGGAAGAUUGCAUGCGUUCGUUGCGAAAAAAUCCACCCGAGUUUCGCUACCCGGAAAUAGUGCACUUGGGUGCCGAAAUGCACCCGUUUUGCAUCGUUUUUCGUGCCGGAACCGAAUGCCCAAAAACACUCCCAAACAUGUUCUAGUGUAUAUUUAUGAAGAUUGCAUGCGUUCGUUGCGAAAAAAUCCACCCGAGUUUCGCUACCCGGCAAUAGUGUAGUCGGGUGCCGAAAUGCACCCGUUUUGCAUCAUUUUUCGUGCCGGAACCGAAUGCCCAAAAACACUCCCAAACAUGUUCUAGUGCAUAUUUAGGAAGAUUGCAUGCGUUCGUUGCGAAAAAAUCCACCCGAGUUUCGCUACCCGGCAAUAGUGCAUUCGGGUGCCGAAAUGCACCCAUUUUGCAUCAUUUUUCGUGCCGGAACCAAAUGUCCAAAAACACUCCCAAACAUGUUCUAGUGCAUAUUUAGGAAGAUUGCAUGCGUUCGUUGCGAAAAAUUCCACCCGAGUUUCGCUACCCGGCAAUAGUGCAUUCGGGUGCCGAAAUGCACCCGUUUUGCAUCGUUUUUCGUGCCGGAACCGAAUGCCCAAAAACACUCCCAAACAUGUUCUAGGGUCUAAUUAGGAAGAUUGCAUGCGUUCGUUGCGAAAAAAUCCACCCGAGUUUCGCUACCCGGCAAUAGUGCAUUCGGGUGCCGAAAUGCACCCGUUUUGCAUCAUUUUUCGUGCCGGAACCGAAUGCCCAAAGACACUCUCAAACAUGUUCCAGUGCAUAUUUAGGAAGAUUGCAUGCGUUCGUUGCGAAAAAAUCCACCCGAGUUUCGCUACCCGGAAAUAGUGCACUUGGGUGCCGAAAUGCACCCGUUUUGCAUCGUUUUUCGUGCCGGAAUCGAAUGCCCAAAAACACUCCCAAACAUGUUGUAGUGUAUAUUUAUGAAGAUUGCAUGCGUUCGUUGCGAAAAAAUCCACCCGAGUUUCGCUACCCGGCAAUAGUGUAGUCGGGUGCCGAAAUGCACCCGUUUUGCAUCAUUUUUCGUGCCGGAACCGAAUGCCCAAAAACACUCCCAAACGUGCUCUAGUGCAUAUUUAGGAAGAUUGCAUGCGUACGUUGCGAAAAAUUCCACCCGAGUUUUGCUACCCGGCAAUAGUGCAUUCGGGUGCCGAAAUGCACCCGUUUUGCAUCGUUUUUCGUGCCGGAACCGAAUGCCCAAAAACACUCCCAAACAUGUUCUAGGGUCUAAUUAGGAAGAUUGCAUGCGUUCGUUGCGAAAAAAUCCACCCGAGUUUCGCUACCCGGCAAUAGUGCAUUCGGGUGCCGAAAUGCACCCGUUUUGCAUCAUUUUUCGUGCCGGAACCGAAUGCCCAAAGACACUGAUAGAGUCGGAGUGCCCGAUCUUUCGGUGAGUGGAGAUAAAUUCGACUUGGUGGAAGUGGACCCUCACGAUCCGACUACGACGAGCGAACCCGAAGCGCCAAUGCAAUCGCUGAACCAACUCCCGAUGGUUACCAACCUCGCCGGUGCGAGAUCAGCCUGAUCACGAAGAUCGAUUCCUGUCCGCAAUCGAAGAACGAACAAGAAAGAGAGGCGAGCAAUCUAAAUAUCACUCGAAGGUGGAGUUCUGAAUCACAAGGACAGCGCGUAUUUGCGCGUGUUCAAGAGUAGCUAAAGCUAGAUGUAAAACAAAACUCAAGUCGUAAACAAAAAGGACUCGGACUAAAUAAAGGGGGCGCAGCCCCUGGAGUCCGAAGGGGUCACGGCGCCCAACCCUAGGCGCCCCACCUGGGCUGCCCUGUUGGGCCAUCUUCUUAUUCCGAUGGGCCUUCGUUCCUUAACAGCAUGAUGAAGUUUAAUUCUCUCGCACGGGCUCGAGUGAUUGGCCCAACUGGAGGAGCAACUGGAGGCGCCUGAGGUGCUGCUGGUGUAGAUGUACUCGUGGUGUCCUCAUCAUCCUCCCCUUCUUGAACUGAAGUCGUCCUCGACGGCAACUCCUCAUCUUCGCCCACAUACGGUUUCAAAUCUGCAACAUUAAAACUCGUGGAAACACCAAACUCCGCAGGCAGGUCAAGGAUAUAAGCAUUAUCAUUAAUCUUGGUUAGCACUUUAAAAGGACCAGCAGCACGUGGCAUCAAUUUAGAACGACGUAAGGUAGGAAAACGAUCCUUCCUCAAAUGCAACCAAACCAGAUCACCCGGUGCAAAAGUAACAUGUUUUCUCCCUUUACUACCCGCAACCUGAUAUUUAGCAUUAGCAGCAGCAAUGUUUCGUUGAGUUUGCUCAUGCAAGCUAAUCAUUUGAUCAAUAUGUGCAGCGGCAUCUAUGUGUGGGGUGUCCUCGGCAUCAAGUGCAAACAAAUCAAUAGGCGCCCGAGGAAUAUAACCAUAAACAACUUGAAAAGGACACAUCUUUGUAGAAGAAUGCGUUGCAUGAUUAUAAGCAAACUCAACAUGAGGCAAGCAAUCUUCCCAACGUUUCAAGUGUUUAUCUAAAACAGCCCUAAGCAUAGUGGACAAGGUUCGAUUAACCACCUCAGUUUGUCCAUCAGUCUGAGGGUGACAAGUGGUGCUAAACAGCAAUUUAGUUCCCAUUUUAUUCCAUAGUGAUCUCCAAAAAUGACUGAGAAACUUAGCAUCACGAUCAGAGACUAUUGUAUUUGGAAUACCAUGCAAACGAAUAAUCUCGCGAAAGAACAAUUCAGCAACAUUGCUAGCAUCAUCAGUCUUAUGACAAGGUAUAAAAUGAGCCAUUUUGGAGAAACGAUCAACAACCACAAAAAUACUGUCCCUCCCCUUCUUAGUUCUAGGCAAUCCCAAAACAAAGUCCAUAGAAAUAUCAAGCCAAGGGGAAGUAGGAACAGGCAAAGGUAUGUACAAACCAUGGUUGUUUAAUCGUGACUUAGCUUUCUGGCAAGUAGUGCAGCGGGCAACAAGGCGCUCAACAUCAGCGCGCAUCCGGGGCCAAAAGAAGUGGGCAGCCAGCACUUCAUGCGUCUUGUAGACGCCAAAGUGCCCCAUGAGACCGCCUCCAUGCGCUUCCUGUAACAACAAACGACGAACCGAGCUAGCUGGAACACACAGCUUGUUAGCGCGAAACAGGAACCCGUCCUGUAUGUGAAAUUUGCCCCAUGGUUUGCCAUGAAUACAGUGGGCGAAAGCAUCUUUAAAAUCAGCAUCAUCCACAUAUUGAUCCUUCACAGUGUGCAAGCCAAAGAUUUUAAAAUCUAACUGUGACAGCAUGGUAUAGCGACGAGACAAAGCAUCAGCAAUGACAUUUUCCUUCCCGCUCUUGUGUUUAAUAAUGUAAGGGAAAGACUCAAUGAAUUCUACCCAUUUAGCAUGACGACGGUUCAGGUUUGUUUGGGUACGAAUAUGUUUUAAAGCCUCAUGAUCAGAAUGAAUUAUAAACUCGCGAUGCCAAAGGUAGUGCUGCCAAGUAUGCAAAGUGCGCACUAAAGCAUAAAGCUCCUUAUCAUAAGUAGAAUAAUUCAAGCUAGCACCACUUAAUUUCUCGCUAAAGUAAGCAACCGGUUUUCCUUCUUGUAAUAAAACAGCACCUAGCCCAAUACCGCUAGCAUCGCAUUCAAGCUCAAACACUUUAGUAAAAUCAGGCAACUGCAAGAGAGGAGCAUUGGUUAACUUAUCUUUCAAGGUGCUGAACGCAACCUCUUGCGAAUCACUCCAAGCAAAGGGAACAUCCUUCUUUGUAAGCUCAUGUAGAGGCGCUGCAAUGGAGCUAAAAUCACGAACAAACCGACGGUAGAAACCUGCAAGGCCAAGAAAGCUUCGAAUUUGUGUAACCGUUGUCGGUGUAGGCCACUCCCGAAUGGCAUCAAUCUUGCUGCUAUCCACCUCAAUGCCCUGUGGAGUAACAACAUAGCCAAGAAACGAGACACGUUGUGUGCAAAACAUGCAUUUUUCGAGGUUAGCAAAUAAAUGGGCCGCACGCAAUGCAUCAAAAACAGCACGCAAAUGUUCUAAAUGCUCUUCCAUAGACUUGCUGUAAAUGAGGAUAUCAUCAAAAUAGACAACUACAAACAAUCCUAUGAAGGGCCUCAGAACUUCAUUCAUCAAACGCAUAAAUGUGCUGGGAGCAUUUGUCAAACCAAACGGCAUAACCAACCAUUCGUAUAACCCAAAUUUCGUUUUAAAAGCCGUUUUCCAUUCAUCACCUAAUUUCAUGCGAAUCUGAUGGUAGCCACUACGCAAAUCAAUCUUAGUGAAAAUAAUGGCACCACUAAGCUCAUCUAGCAUAUCAUCAAGGCGUGGUAUAGGGUAUCGGUAGCGAAUGGUAAUGUUAUUAAUAGCACGACAGUCUACACACAUACGCCAUGAGCCAUCUUUCUUUGGAACAAGUAACACAGGAACGGAGCAAGGGCUAAGAGACUCACGAAUAUAACCCUUGUCAAGCAACGCCUGUACCUGGCGCUGGAUUUCCUUCGUCUCAUCCGGAUUUGUACGGUACGGUGCGCGGUUCGGAAGCUGUGCGCCGGGAAUAAGGUCGAUCUGGUGCUCAAUGCCACGAAGUGGUGGAAGUCCCGGUGGCAAAUCUUUUGGAAAGACAUCAGCGUACUCCUGCAAAAUGUUAGCAACCGCAGGGGGAAUAUCCAAAGAGGGCGCAUCAUCAAGUGAAACGAGCACACUAGAGCAUAUAAGGGCAUAGCAUGGCAAAGGAGCAUCGCGUAACUCAUCAAAAUCAGCACGUGUGGCAAGCAAAACAGGAGCAUUCAACUUGAUUUCAGAAUUAAGAGAUGUCGAUGGUUCAAGUUGUUUAGCAGUUUUAGCAGCUCUAGCAAGAUCAUCUUUAAGAAUUUGUUCAGGUGUCAUUGGAUGUAUAAUUAUUUUCUGACCCUUAAACAUGAAAGAAUAGUGAUUUGAACGACCAUGAUGCAAGCUAUCAGUAUCAUAUUGCCAAGGUCGCCCAAGUAACAGAGAGCAUGCUUCCAUGGGAAUAACAUCACAAUCGACAAAAUCAGAAUAAGCACCCAUGGAGAAAGGAACACGGACUGAGCGAGUAAUUCUAAUUUUCCCACCAUCAUUAAGCCAUUGAAUGUGAUAUGGAUGUGGAUGCUUACGAGUGGGUAAAGACAACUUUUCAACCAGCGUGGUACUCGCCAAAUUGUUGCAGCUGCCGCUGUCGAUGAUGAUGCGAAUCGACCGCUCCUGCACAACGCCCUUGGUAUGGAAAAGAGUGUGUCGCUGAUUCUUCUCGGACGGGGCGACCUGUGUACUAAGAACACGCUGCACAACAAGACUUUCAUACCUAUCGGCGUCGCCCGGGUUGACAUGUACCUCCAUAGCUGCAUGGUCAGUGGCAAGCAUCGCAUGUCGAGUAUCUUCAGAAUCACUAGCGGAAGAGUACUCACCAUCGUCACGAAGAAGCAAAGUGCGCUUGUUCGGACAGUCCCGAAUCACAUGGCCAAAUCCUUUGCAACGAUGACACUGAAUAUCCCGUGUACGGCCUGUGGGAGGGGCGGCGCCUGUGGAAGGGGCAGCGCUUGCAGGUUUUGCCGUUCGCUCGCGCGGUGUAGUGGUGGGCGUGGGUGGCGCAGGGAGAGCGGGUGCGGAGUUGGAUGGCAAGCUUCUUCCUGCAAAAGAGUUAGAAGAUGUCUUCGAGCGGCGUCCCUGCACUUCACGUUCAGCUUUGCAAGCAUAUUCAAAUAAAGUUGUCAUAGCUGUGUAGUCCUUAUAAUCAAGUAUAUCCUGAAUUUCGCGGUUCAAACCACCACGAAAACGUGCCAUAGCAGCGUCGUUUUCCUCCAAUAACCCACAACGAAUCAUUCCUAUUUGUAAUUCCUGGAAAUAUUCCUCAACAGAUUUGGAACCUUGCUGAAAACGUUGCAUUUUAUUAAGCAAAUCGCGAGCAUAAUAAGAAGGCACAAAUCUGUGGCGCAUAGCAGUUUUUAAUUGCUCCCAAGUGGUUGGAAUGGUAUUGGGAUGUUUGUGUUUAUAUUCACGCCACCAAAUUAAAGCAAAAUCAGUAAAUUCACUAAUAGCAGCUUUAACUUGAGAAUUAGCAAGAAUAUCAUGGCAUGAAAAUUUCUGUUCAACUUCUAAUUCCCAAUCAAGAUAGGCAGCAGGAUCAUAUUUGCCAUUAAAAGGUGGAAUUUUAAAUUUAAUCUUGGAAAAGGAAUCAUUACCACCGGGACGGCGUGGCACGCGGCGGGCACGGCCUCGGCGGUCGCCAUCAUCCUGGUCCGAGUCACCACCAUAACCCUGCUGCAACUCGGCGACUGUUGUGUGCAAUGCAUCGAGUCUUGCCACAACUGAGUCGAGUGUGGCCUUAGCGGCCGUCUGUGCAAGGUCGAGCUGAUCACACCGCUCGGUCGUCGAGGAGAUCGUCGAGUCCAGCCGUUCAUGAAUCGUCUGAAUGUCGGUAACAAGCCCUUCAACUUGCGCUCGUAUGCCCUGCAGCUGGUUAGCCCCCGCGUCGACAUCAUCUGCCAUGGUUAGCGCAAAGACAAAAACAAAAGCGACGACAAAACAGGGGUGUAACAGCUCACAAGGCGCUCACACUAGUGCUGUUAUCAAAUUCUUAUCCGUUCUUACCACGCACACAGGGGCGAACUGCAACCAACCGGUGGAACUCGUGAAAGAUUGGAGGAGCGAUUGCCUGGAGAAACAAAAGCUGCUCGUCGUAGAACUAUGUGGAUUUUUGGGAAGGCUGCACUCAAAUGAAGGAUUAGCACAAUCAAACAAUAAUGCAAAGUUGAAUUAUAGUGCCAAACACGUAACAAGGGUUGCUGGAACAAGUGAAAAUGCGAAAGAACAGAGGCAAGGUGGAGAGGGCGCACCUCUUUUUUUUUUUUAUGUCUGUUUUUUUUUUCACAGAGGGUGCCCCAAAACUGAUAAUAUGAACACAGAGGAUCUCAAAUAUCAAAUUGCGGCACACACUCUCUCUCUCUCUCUCUCUCUAGAGUAAGGCGGACCUCAGAAUAAUAAAGGACCAAGAAAGAGAGAUACGGAUGUGAAAGGCUGGUACGGAAUGCGUGGGGGAGGGGGGAAUUAACACCAGAGAGUCGUGACCCAGGAGGAGUCACGGCGCGCGCAAAGGGAGGUUCCACCGAAACAAAUCCGAAUCACCUUCCUUCUCCCUGUUGGAUUCUUCUUCGUCUUUUUUUUUUUUUGCUUCUUUCCUUUUUUUUUUUGCACUUUCCUUUUUUUUUGAUUGCUUUCGAUCUCUUUUUUUUUGACAGGGGAGGGGCGAUCGGAGUAGUGGGAUGGCGCGGCGCGGUUGUCGCGGGGGAAGGUGCGGUGGGCGCGGCUGGUAGGGUUGGCGAGCAGCGGAACGGCGGCGGCGGCGAAAACUAGGGUUAGAUGAAAAACGAGAAACAAGAGAUUAAACACAAGUAACCAGCAACAAUUGAACGAGUAGGCACACAAAUUCAACAAAGACACUUAUUGAAAGAAUGUGCGAGGCUAAACGGUUGCUGGGACAAAGGAUCUAACCUGAAAAAAAUUUGUUUUGGUUUUUGUGGACUGUAGGAAGGGAAAAACACUCGGUAAAACUCACCGAUCAACCUGGAAAGCUGAUACCACUUGAUAGAGUCGGAGUGCCCGAUCUUUCGGUGAGUGGAGAUAAAUUCGACUUGGUGGAAGUAGACCCUCACGAUCCGACUACGACGAGCGAACCCGAAGCGCCAAUGCAAUCGCUGAACCAACUCCCGAUGGUUACCAACCUCGCCGGUGCGAGAUCAGCCUGAUCACGAAGAUCGAUUCCUGUCCGCAAUCGAAGAACGAACAAGAAAGAGAGGCGAGCAAUCUAAAUAUCACUCGAAGGUGGAGUUCUGAAUCACAAGGACAGCGCGUAUUUGCGCGUGUUCAAGAGUAGCUAAAGCUAGAUGUAAAACAAAACUCAAGUCGUAAACAAAAAGGACUCGGACUAAAUAAAGGGGGCGCAGCCCCUGGAGUCCGAAGGGGUCACGGCGCCCAACCCUAGGCGCCCCACCUGGGCUGCCCUGUUGGGCCAUCUUCUUAUUCCGAUGGGCCUUCGUUCCUUAACAGCAUGAUGAAGUUUAAUUCUCUCGCACGGGCUCGAGUGAUUGGCCCAACUGGAGGAGCAACUGGAGGCGCCUGAGGUGCUGCUGGUGUAGAUGUACUCGUGGUGUCCUCAUCAGACACUCUCAAACAUGUUCUAGUGCAUAUUUAGGAAGAUUGCAUGCGUUCGUUGCGAAAAAAUCCACCCGAGUUUCGCUACCCGGAAAUAGUGCACUUGGGUGCCGAAAUGCACCCGUUUUGCAUCGUUUUUCGUGCCGGAACCGAAUGCCCAAAAACACUCCCAAACAUGUUCUAGUGUAUAUUUAUGAAGAUUGCAUGCGUUCGUUGUGAAAAAAUCCACCCGAGUUUCGCUACCCGGCAAUAGUGCAUUCGGCACCCGUUUUGCAUCAUUUUUCGUGCCGGAACCGAAUGCCCAAAAACACUCCCAAACAUGUUCUAGUGCAUAUUUAGGAAGAUUGCAUGCGUUCGUUGCGAAAAAAUCCACCCGAGUUUCGCUACCCGGCAAUAGUGCAUUCGGGUGCCGAAAUGCACCCAUUUUGCAUCGUUUUUCAUGCCGGAACCGAAUGCCCAAAAACACUCCCAAACAUGUUCUAGUGCAUAUUUAGGAAGAUUGCAUGCGCUCGUUGCGAAAAAUCCACUCGAGUUUCGCUACCCGGAAAUAGUGCAUUCGGGUGCCGAAAUGCACCCGUUUUGCAUCGUUUUUCGUGCCGGAACCGAAUGCCAAAAAACACUCCCAAACAUGUUCUAGUGCAUAUUUAGGAAGAUUGCAUGCGUUCGUUACGAAAAAAUCCACCCGAGUUUCGCUACCCGGCAAUAGUGCAUUCGGCUGCCGAAAUGCACCCGUUUUGCAUCAUUUUUCGUGCCAGAACCAAAUGCCCAAAAACACUCCCAAACAUGUUCUAAGGCAUAUUUAGGAAGAUUGCAUGCGUUCGUUGCGAAAAAAUCCACCCGAGUUUCGCUACCCGGCAAUAGUGCAUUCGGGUGCCGAAAUGCACCCGUUUUGCAUCAUUUUUCGUGCCGGAACCGAAUGCCCAAAAAGACUCCCAAACAUGUUCUAGUGCAUAUUUAGGAAGAUUGCAUGCGUUCGUUGCGAAAAAAUCCACCCGAGUUUCGCUACCCGGCAAUAGUGUAGUCGGGUGCCGAAAUGCACCCGUUUUGCAUCAUUUUUCGUGCCGGAACCGAAUGCCCAAAAACACUCCCAAACGUGCUCUAGUGCAUAUUUAGGAAGAUUGCAUGCGUUCGUUGCGAAAAAUUCCACCCGAGUUUCGCUACCCGGCAAUAGUGCAUUCGGGUGCCGAAAUGCACCCGUUUUGCAUCGUUUUUCGUGCCGGAACCGAAUGCCCAAAAACACUCCCAAACAUGUUCUAGGGUCUAAUUAGGAAGAUUGCAUGCGUUCGUUGCGAAAAAAUCCACCCGAGUUUCGCUACCCGGCAAUAGUGCAUUCGGGUGCCGAAAUGCACCCGUUUUGCAUCAUUUUUCGUGCCGGAACCGAAUGCCCAAAGACACUCUCAAACAUGUUCUAGUGCAUAUUUAGGAAGAUUGCAUGCGUUCGUUGCGAAAAAAUCUACCCGAGUUUCGCUACCCGGAAAUAGUGCACUUGGGUGCCGAAAUGCACCCGUUUUGCAUCGUUUUUCGUGCCGGAACCGAAUGCCCAAAAACACUCCCAAACAUGUUCUAGUGUAUAUUUAUGAAGAUUGCAUGCGUUCGUUGUGAAAAAAUCCACCCGAGUUUCGCUACCCGGCAAUAGUGCAUUCGGCACCCGUUUUGCAUCAUUUUUCGUGCCGAAACCGAAUGCCCAAAAACACUCCCAAACAUGUUCUAGUGCAUAUUUAGGAAGAUUGCAUGCGUUCGUUGCGAAAAAAUCCACCCGAGUUUCGCUACCCGGCAAUAGUGCAUUCGGGUGCCGAAAUGCACCCGUUUUGCAUCAUUUUUCGUGCCGGAACCGAAUGCCCAAAGACACUCUCAAACAUGUUCUAGUGCAUAUUUAGGAAGAUUGCAUGCGUUCGUUGCGAAAAAAUCCACCCGAGUUUCGCUACCCGGAAAUAAGGCACUUGGGUGCCGAAAUGCACCCGUUUUGCAUCGUUUUUCGUGCCGGAACCGAAUGCCCAAAAACACUCCCAAACAUGUUCUAGUGUAUAUUUAUGAAGAUUGCAUGCGUUCGUUGCGAAAAAAUCCACCCGAGUUUCGCUACCCGGCAAUAGUGUAGUCAGGUGCCGAAAUGCACCCGUUUUGCAUCAUUUUUCGUGCCGGAACCGAAUGCCCAAAAACACUCCCAAACGUGCUCUAGUGCAUAUUUAGGAAGAUUGCAUGCGUACGUUGCGAAAAAUUCCACCCGAGUUUCGCUACCCGGCAAUAGUGCAUUCGGG
rnacentral:lncRNA from 1 species